rnacentral:rRNA from 9 species
CUGUGUGAAUGCAAGUGUGAACA